rnacentral:rRNA from 1 species
GAGUUUGAUCAUGGCUCAGAACGAACGCUGGCGGCGUGGAUAAGACAUGCAAGUCGAACGGGAGAAUUGCUAGCUUGCUAAUAAUUCUCUAGUGGCGCACGGGUGAGUAACACGUGAGUAACCUGCCCCGAGAGCGGGAUAGCCCUGGGAAACUGGGAUUAAUACCGCAUAGUAUCGAAAGAUUAAAGCAGCAAUGCGCUUGGGGAUGGGCUCGCGGCCUAUUAGUUAGUUGGUGAGGUAACGGCUCACCAAGGCGAUGACGGGUAGCCGGUCUGAGAGGAUGUCCGGCCACACUGGAACUGAGACACGGUCCAGACACCUACGGGUGGCAGCAGUCGAGAAUCAUUCACAAUGGGGGAAACCCUGAUGGUGCGACGCCGCGUGGGGGAAUGAAGGUCUUCGGAUUGUAAACCCCUGUCAUGUGGGAGCAAAUUAAAAAGAUAGUACCACAAGAGGAAGAGACGGCUAACUCUGUGCCAGCAGCAGCCGCUGUAAC